AUUCCUGCGGCAAUCAAGUGUCACCCCCCAGUUACACUUAGAAUGGACCUGUCCAAAUGUGAUUGGUCGGCAUUUCCCGCCAGCUGUCAGUAACUCGAAGAUGUUAAGUUGGCGAUUAUGUCAAUGACAACCGAACGCACGAGGAAGACAAAAAACAAGCCUCUGGAAGAAGAACGAUCAAAGGUUUGCUCAGUCUUCACCUUCAUCGAAAACAGCUAAAUCCCACCAUGACAGACUGCAGCGUUACCGCGACUCCAGCUGAGCAGGGACAUGCGAUGCCGUCAAUCGGCCGAGGGAGGACGAUGGAAACCAUGUUGUCCUUCAUCAAGUCCUCCUCACCAGCCUUCAAGAGCAACUAUGUUGGAUAUAGUAUGACAAGGACAGAUAACUCCUGUAACUGUGAUCGUCCAAUGAGGAAUAUCCUGUGUAAGUCAUGUGGGUAUUUGUGUCGAGGUCGUGUCCAGAUGAGGUGUCCAUGCCAUCAGAAUGUCAUCCACCUCAUGGAUAUCAGAAUCUGCCCUAACUGCCAGAGAGAUACACUAAAGGAAUUCGGAGUGGCCACCCAUAGGAAGUAGAUGAUAAAGUGUACCUGAAGGACAGCUGUGUGGUGUCCAGUGGACAGUGCUAGUAUCGAUUUGGCUUAAUCUUGUCUUUAUUUUAGUCUUGUCUUUAUGCUAGCCCAGCGAGCAUGGUCCCUCCUUCCCUUAGUGCUCAUUUCUGCUCCAGUUGACCACCUCAUAGAAAAUUGUAUAUGCAGUUAACCUUACAAGUGGAGAUUGUCCUGAUGUUCGAUGUACAACAAAUCUCCAAGCCACCUGGUUCUUGUAAAAAGUGUUAAAACCAGUAUCGACAAACGCUCUUCUAGCAUAAUACAUCUACUGAAACGUUAGAAACAAGAAGUCAAAACUGAUCAGAUGGAUUAUAAUCAUAGAGUUUUUGUUGAUGUGGGUUUUGACACUUUUGAAAAUCGAUGACUCGGGGGCUGUAUUCAAUGUAUGUCACACGUGAAUACGAAAUUGAGUUGUGAAGCUAUUGACAAUAUUCUGUGUGGAAGUGAAUGGGGCCAAAUCCAAACUGACUGCGAAGCUGUGACUGUGCUUGCCGGACUAUCCUUUUGCCAUUGUGUUAACUGUUGCAGAUUUUAUGUGAUAUCUUGUUUUAUAUAUGUGUUAUGCUUACCUAUGAUGGUGCUGUGCCAGUUUGCCAAAGCUGAGUUGAUAUUGAAACUGCUCAAGGGACCUAGCAGUUCAUGGCAAGGUCUGUAGAUGAUACCAAAGAGGAAAAUAUAUUAAGAUUGAAAAGGUUUGAAGUGGUGAAUGUGCCUCCUCAACAGUUCAGAACAGGGUGAGAAAUCGUCUCAUUUGGAGGGUGAUAUUUUUGUUGUCUGCUCUGCCAAAUGACCUUUGAUGCAGAUCCGUCAUCCUGCUAUUUACAUUUAAUGGCAGCAACAAGAUGUCAAUUUGUGUUUGCUGGUGGGCAAAUUAUCUUGAUUUCAUAAUGGUUUGUGAUCACUUAGUUACUGGUCAGGAUUACUGAUGUGGUUUAUGGAAAUGACAAUGCCAUUCCCUCGAUAUGACAGAAUAGUUUAAAGCAUAAGGUAAUUUUCUUAGUUAAUUUCCAAGAUGUGGACUGCUCGUCAUCACAGAAAGAUGAUCUGUGUUUUUGCUGAAGCUGAGGAAUGGAUAUAUGGGUAUGUAGUUAGUUUAUGUGUAGACUUGUGAUUUUUGUGUGGUUAGAUCUUCUUUGUAUUUUAUUUGAUCUGUUCGAUUAAAGAUAGGUUUUGUGGGCAGCAGUUUUUUUUAUCCAGAGAUUUGCGUCAAGGUUACAAGUCGCUCUGUUCAACGAUGAUGUCUGCGCAGUGACGGCAUUGGGCAAGGUAGCCACUGUAUGUUUACCAUAACGGUAGAGUUUCCCUCAAUAUUCUGCUUGUUUCAGAAUAAAGUGUUCUAAGGAAUAACUUUGCCUGACAUGUAGUCUUUAAGAUGAAAAAUGAUUAGAAAUUGGUACUGUAGACCUAAUUUUUUAUGUCCUGAUAUCCUCGGGUUUUAUGGUAACCUAAACUUGCCAAGGUUACAGCUUUUUAUUGAUUUUAUUUUUCAUGGAGAUAACUUGUCUGUUCAGUGCAGUGCAAACAAUGUGUUAAUGAUGCGAAAAAAGGUUUGUCCAAAACUCCAGGGUGAGCUUUUAGAGGUCUGAUUCACAAAGCACUUGUAACAUUACGAACAUGUUACUAUGGUAACUAGGAAUGUAGGUAUCACAUUUUUGUUGUUGCAGUUAUGUGCUUGUAGCAUUCGCCGGGCCUGGGAACCGCUGAGACUUCUCUCUCGUUUGGAGUAAUUCUUUCUAGGAUUUGCAUGGUUUCCACAACCUAAUUAAAACAGUAUUUUUCGGAUCAGUCCUUUCCUAAACCUUGUUGGACAUUAAACCUUUGUAUGCAAGGUGUAAUUAGUACUGCUUUGUGAUCCAUAUGUUUAUUGUUGGCAUUAAAAGGUAUAUUUUCUUUA